GAAUAAAUAAAUCGAGUAUUCGAUUAUUAUGAUUGCAUCCACGUAAAUCAUAAAUGUUCAGUGUUAAUUUUAUAUUAUUAUUUAUUUUCUCACGAUUCGUCGAUUGUAAGUUGCGCUUUCGACUACCUACUACGAAAUUCUGUUUAGUAUUUUUCUAGUAUAGUUUUUAAACUACACGUUUUGUUCCUAUUUAUAUGAGAAUGGAGGUACCGGUGUUGGGAACCCUUGGCUGUAGUAUUACACUGUAGAAUACACUAUACAUUAGGAUAUUUUAGCCAUGUAAGCAUAGGUUUAUGGCAGAUAUUGCAAAGGCGUAUCAAGGUAUUAGAUAUGUACCAAUGACUUGGGGCAUUGAUGAUUGUCAUUUUUCAUUUCACAGAAUGUUAGAGGUAUCUAGAUAUCUAAGAUCCAGCUGCAUUAUGAGUGUGGGUGAUAAAAAAUGAGAAAACUAAAAAUCAAUCGUUAGCUGGAGUACGAGUACCUAGUUAUCUUAAUAAAUAAUCGGAUUCAUUCAGUUUUAUAUAACAAAUGUCAGAAAUGAAAAUAAAAUGCUUACCUUGCAUCUAAGCAACUACCUACGGAUUCAUUGAUUUUAUAUUAUUGUUAUAAAUUAUAAGAAUGAAAAAGAAAAAAAAAACUUGAGAUUGUGUUACCUUCUUCAGUGUAUGAAUCUGAAGUUGGAAAAAGGGAUUGUAACAGAGAUUGAAACAGCUCAUCAGUCUGGUUUCCCCGUUUGGUUUUGGACCAUAACAUUGCUGCAAUGGAUGAUGAUUCGGCCUUGUACCAGUCUGCACUCUACAGCCCAUCAAACUAAGAAGAAAAGUCAAACUUGCUGAAAUGUAUGCAUGGUGUAUUAGACUCAGUGUUGGUUCAAUUAUUUUGGAAAAGUAAAGUUACAUACAGACAUUAAAAUCUAUGAACAAUUAAGAUAUACAACACCUGAUACCUACUAAUGGCAGCUUGCAUAAACAACCACUUAACAUUCAAUGAAUCAAUAGUGGGCUAAUGGGAAUAAGAAAGAAAAGGAAGGCAAACUCAUAUUAUAAAGUACUUUAUUUAUCAAUUUGUACAUUCAGAUAAUAGUGUUCAAACAGUUUGAUAUCCACAGAUACUCUCUUUAUUACUGAUGGUUUGAAUUUACCAGUAAAAAUACUAUUAUAUUAACAUUAUUAAUUGCAAUAGAAGAGAUACUUAAAAAAGUAAUAGUUUGAUUGCUUACAACUAAGUCAACCAUUAUAUUUUAAAUAAAAAAGAAAGUUAGAAAUUAAAAUUGAAAGUUCAUUAAUUUAGUACAAUUUAAAUAACAGUUAUAAAUGUUUUGGAUCUUAAAUAUAAAUUUAUUUUUCAUCAUUAUGUUAUUAGUAUGAAAAAUAUGCUAUAAAUAAAAUGCUAUAUAUACAAAUUAAAUGGUUAAACAUUAUGAAUUUCUUACAAUUUUAUGAUAAAUUAUUAAAUUAGUUCAUAUUUUUAAUCAAUUCAUGAGACACGCCUUUAUUUUAGCUUUAUUGGUUACAUCGAUUGAAAAAAUAUAAUAUUUUAAUAUAAUAAUUUAACUAGAAAUUUAAAGACUAAAUAGCUUUUUUCAUUGAAUUGCUGCAGAGGUUAAAAAUUAAAUGUUAUAGACAUUAUGUAGAUAAAAAGUCUGUUAUUGGAGAUAUAUUUUAUUUAUUAAUAAUAACACAAGAAAUAUUUAGAAUAAUGUAUGAGUUGAAUUGCUUACAACAAAGACAAUCAUCGUAUUUUAAAUAUCUAAAAAAGAUAAAAACUAAAAUUGUUAUUAAACUAAUUUAACAUCAUAUUUAUACGUUAUGAAAUUAUUAAAUAUAAAUUAAUUUUUUUUUUCAAAUUUAUGUUAUAUUGUGAAAAUAUAUUAUUAAUACAUUUUAUAAUGUAAUGUGCAUGUGCCCAUGUGGAGUCAACAUAGCAUACAUUUAUUAAAUUUCUCUAGAGGUUAAAAGAGGUUCAUGAGAAUUAUGUAGAUGGUAAUUCUAUAUGUAGGUAUAUGUUUGUAAAUAAUAAAAAGUAGUAAA